rnacentral:rRNA from 1 species
AUACGGAGGGUGCAAGCGUUGUUCGGAAUUAUUGGGCGUAAAGCGUUCGUAGCUGGACUCUUAAGUCUCCUGGGAAAUCCGCCGGCUCAACCGGCGGGCGUCCAGGAGAUACUGAGUGUCUAGGAACCGGAAGAGGUAAGAGGUACUUCGGGGGUAGGAGUGAAAUCCUGUAAUCCUCGAGGGACCACCGAUGGCGAAGGCAUCUUACCAGGACGGCUUCGACAGUGAGGAACGAAAGCUGGGGGAGCGAACCGGAUUAGAUACCCGGGUAGUCCCAGCCGUAAACGAUGCGCGUUAGGUGUACUGGUGACCACGAGUCACCUGGGUGCCGAAGGGAAACCGUGAAACGUGCCGCCUGGGAAGUACGGUCGCAAGGCUGAA